UACAGAGGGCCCAAGCGUUGUUCGGAUUUACUGGGCGUAAAGGGUGCGUAGGUGGCGAGGUAAGUUUGAUGUGAAAUCUCCGAGCUCAACUCGGAAAUGGCAUUGAAUACUAUCCCGCUUGAGGGUCGGAGGGGAGACUGGAAUUCUCGGUGUAGCGGUGAAAUGCGUAGAUAUCGAGAGGAACACCUGCGGCGAAGGCGGGUUGCUGGGCUGAUACUGACGCUGAGGCGCGAAAGCUAGGGGAGCGAACGGG
rnacentral:rRNA from 1 species